rnacentral:rRNA from 1 species
AACGAACGCUGGCGGCAUGCCUAACACAUGCAAGUCGAACGAGACCUUCGGGUCUAGUGGCGCACGGGUGCGUAACGCGUGGGAACCUGCCCUUAGGUUCGGAAUACCUCCCCGACAGGGGUGCUAAUACCGGAUAAUGUCUUCGGACCAAAGAUUUAUCGCCUUUGGAUGGGCCCGCGUUGGAUUAGCUAGUUGGUAGGGUAAAAGCCUACCAAGGCGACGAUCCAUAGCUGGUCUGAGAGGAUGAUCAGCCACACUGGGACUGAGACACGGCCCAGACUCCUACGGGAGGCAGCAGUGGGGAAUAGUGGACAAUGGGCGAAAGCCUGAUCCACCAAUGCCGCGUGAGUGAUGAAGGCCUUAGGGUUGUAAAGCUCUUUUACCCGGGAUGAUAAUGACAGUACCGGGAGAAUAAGCUCCGGCUAACUCCGUG